UGAGUACGAGAUGCUACGGCAUCGAAGCAGUCUAUGUCAUACUUCCAAGAAAAGCUCGCACUGUCAUAAACAAAUUAAUGCCUGUACCAUAACCGACACAGGUGGGUAGGUAGAGUAUACUAAGGGGCGCGAGAUAACUCUCUCUAAGGAACUCGGCAAAAUGACUCCGUAACUUCGGGAGAAGGAGUGCCUUAUUUAUAAGGUUGCAAUAACCAGAUCCAAGCAACUGUUUAUCAAAAACACAGGUCUCCGCUAAGUCGUAAGACGAUGUAUGGGGGCUGACGCCUGCCCAGUGCCAGAAGGUUAAAGAAGUUGGUUAGCGUAAGCGAAGCUGAUAACUGAAGCCCUGGUGAACGGCGGCCGUAACAAUAACGGUCCUAAGGUAGCGAAAUUCCUUGUCGGGUAAGUUCCGACCCGCACGAAAGGCGUAAUGAUUUGGAUACUGUCUCGGAGAGGGACUCGGUGAAAUAGACUUGUCUGUGAAGAUGCGGACUACCUGCACCUGGACAGAAAGACCCUAUGAAGCUUUACUGUAACUUGAGAUUGAAAUUGGACUUUAUUCGCGCAGUAUAGGUGGGAGGCAUUGAAAAUAUUCUUGCGGGAAUAUUGGAGCCAUCAGUGAGAUACCACUCUUGUAAUGUUAGAUUUCUAACUUUGUAUCAUUAUCUGGUCAAAGAACAGUUUCAGGCGGGCAGUUUGACUGGGGCGGUCGCCUCCCAAAUGGUAACGGAGGCGCACAAAGGUUUCCUCUGAACGGGUAGAAAUCGUAUCUAGAGUGUAAAGGCAUAAGGAAGCUUGACUGUGAGACCUACAAGUCGAGCAGGGACGAAAGUCGGUCUUAGUGAUCUGACGGUGCUGAGUGGAAAGGCCGUCACUCAACGGAUAAAAGUUACUCUAGGAUAACAGGCUGAUCUCCCCCAAGAGUUCACAUCGACGGGGAGGUUUGGCACCUCGAUGUCGGCUCAUCGCAUCCUGGGGCGGUAGUACGUCCCAAGGGUUGGGCUGUUCGCCCAUGAAAGCGGUACGCGAGCUGGGUUCAGAACGUCGUGAGACAGUUCGGUCCAUAUCCGGUGUAGGCGUUAGAAUAUUGAGAGGAGCCUUCUUUAGUACGAGAGGACCGAGAAGGACAUACCUCUGGUGUACCAGUUAUCGUGCCAACGGUAAACGCUGGGUAGCUAUGUAUGGAGUGGAUAACCGCUGAAAGCAUCUAAGUGGGAAGCCCACCUCAAGAUAAGUAUUCU
rnacentral:rRNA from 1 species